UACGGAGGGAGCUAGCGUUGUUCGGAAAUACUGGGCGUAAAGCGCACGUAGGCGGAUCUUUAAGUCAGGGGUGAAAUCCCGAGGCUCAACCUCGGAACUGCCUUUGAUACUGGGGAUCUCGAGUCCGGGAGAGGUGAGUGGAACUGCGAGUGUAGAGGUGAAAUUCGUAGAUAUUCGCAAGAACACCAGUGGCGAAGGCGGCUCACUGGCCCGGAACUGACGCUGAGGCGCGAAAGCGUGGGGAGCAAACAGG
rnacentral:rRNA from 1 species